rnacentral:rRNA from 1 species
UACGGGGGGGGGCAAGCGUUAUUCGGAAUUAUUGGGCGUAAAGGGCGCGUAGGCGGCUACACAAGUGGCGGGUGAAAUCCCUCGGCUUAACCGAGGAACUGCCUGCCAGACUGUGUGGCUUGAGACCGGGAGAGGUGAGUGGAAUUCCCAGUGUAGCGGUGAAAUGCGUAGAUAUUGGGAGGAACACCAGUGGCGAAGGCGGCUCACUGGACCGGAACUGACGCUGAGGCGCGAAAGCGUGGGGAGCAAACAGG